AGUAACACGUGGAUAACCUACCUAUAAGACUGUGAUAACUUCGGGAAACCGGAGCUAAUACCGGAUAAUAUUUUGAACCGCAUGGUUCAAAAGUGAAAGACGGUCUUGCUGUCACUUAUAGAUGGAUCCGCGCUGCAUUAGCUAGUUGGUAAGGUAACUGCUUACCAAGGCAACGAUGCAUAGCCGACCUGAGAGGGUGAUCGGCCACACUGGAACUGAGACACGGUCCAG
rnacentral:rRNA from 1 species